UAAUGUUUCCUAUUCUAUACUACUUAACGACCGAGUUUAAACGUCUUUGGUCGAUAACUUACCGAACACUUCAGUGAUACUUCUCUUCCCUGUUGUUUAUUUAUUAAACUUUAUAUUGACGUUCCUGGGUCAUUCUAUAUUUAAAUGUAAACAUAAAAUGUUCUUUGAUCGUUUACGUUAAUAUCAAAAUAUUCACGAAGAGAAGGAUAUUUGUUUUUAUAUUUUAUGUAUACUAUAUUAGAAGCUAGUGUGUUGAUUGAGAAAUACAUAGAAUGAGUCAGUCAAUCGUAAAUUUUAUCCGCUAGAUAGCGGUAUUUUCGAAGGAAUGCCUCUCCCUUCGACGAUAAUAUGCUUCAUAAUCAUUCAAUAACAACACGUCAUUCAGUAUACUUUGUAUGAGAUAUGAUGUCGUAUCGGCGAAUUUUAAAUAUGUGUGUUUUUGCAAUCAACAAAAGUACGACAACGAGCACUGUGCGUAUAGGAAAUAAUAUUGCGAUGACAAACAAAGGAAAUGUUGCUUUGUAUCGUACUUUUACGAACGAUUCCUCCAUGAAUUGUCCGACCGUUGGUGAGAUCGUUGAAAAAUGGAGUCACCGGUUUGAGAACGAGGCUAUACCAGAACCCGUUGAAUCCAUCGAACACAUCGUCGCACAUGUCGUAGGUUUAAAAAAGAUCCUGUUUUACCGACAAAUUCUCAAUAUAAUUCAUGAGAAAAUACGCCUUUGUUUUCUAACCUAUAUGAAAUCACAUGGCUAAAUAACAUAUACAUAUGUUUUAUACUGUCAUGGCGUCCAAUAUAUUCGCACUCUUAUUGGCUACUUGCCAAAUUGUAUAUUUUUUACUUUUCCCGCUAAUUUUAAACGUGGACUAUAAAAGCGCAGUCUUUUUUUAAUAAGACAAAAGUGUGAAAUACUUAGUUUUAAAUAGUUUUUUCAUGCUUUCUUUGAUUUUAUUUAACAGCUCUUAGACGUGACGAAUUUUCGUGAUAAACGACUUACGAAAGAUCAAUUGAACGAAUUAGAAUCACUUUGCCAAUGCAGAUUGUCCAGGUAAAAUGUGAUGACUGUACGAAAAAUAAAGAAAUUUCUUAUAUGUUGUUUAAAUCACAUUAAAUCACGUAAUUUCAUGAAAAUGAAGUCCCACAGGAUGCCAGUUCAAUACAUUAUCGGUGAAUGGGAUUUUCGAGAUAUUACCUUGAAAUUAGUUCCACCGAUUUUUAUUCCACGUCCAGAAACAGAGAUAAUAGUUGAUAUUAUUUUAAAAAGACUGAGUUAUUUGCACGAUGACAAUCAUGAAAUCUUGGAAAUCGGUUGUGGUUCUGGCGCGAUAUCGCUAGCUUUGGCACAUUCCUCCAACAAGGUGAUUAAAAUAAAUGGGAUACCUUUAAUCAUUUAAAAUAGUUCGGAGUAAAUUUCAUACUAUUCUAGGUAAAAUGUAUAGCAGUCGAUACUAAUCCACAUGCUUGCGAUUUAACGAAAGAAAAUUGUAGUAAGCUUGGGUUGCAAGAAAGAGUAACUGUCAUGCAAGCGACAUUGGAAGAAGAUGGUACAUUAAAAUCUUCUGAA